GUUAAAGUGGCAGAGACCGGUAAUUGCGUAAACCUUAAACCUUUACUCUCAGAGGUUCAAAUCCUCUCUUUAACA
rnacentral:tRNA from 1 species